GUACAGGAUGGACCCGCGUCUGAUUAGCUAGUUGGUAAGGUAACGGCUUACCAAGGCGACGAUCAGUAGCCGACCUGAGAGGGUGAUCGGCCACAUUGGAACUGAGACACGGUCCAAACUCCUACGGGAGGCAGCAGUGGGGAAUAUUGCACAAUGGGCGAAAGCCUGAUGCAGCAACGCCGCGUGAGUGAUGAAGGCCUUCGGGCCGUAAAACUCAGACCUCAAGGAAGAUAAUGACGGUACUCGCGGAGAAAGCCCAUGCUAACUACGUGCCAGCAGCCGCGGUAAUACUGAAGGGACUAUCGUUAACAGAAUUUAACGGCGUUAAAGGGUCAGGAUGCGGUAUUCUAACUCAGGCGUGAAAGACAGCGUCUCCAACGGAGUAAGUGAUGAGAAAUGUG
rnacentral:rRNA from 1 species